GGUCGUAUAGUGUAGUGGUUAUCACGUUUGUCUUACAUUAUCACCAGAUAUGGGGACACAAAAGGUCGCAGGUUCGAGCCCUGCUACGAUCA